GAUGAAGAACGUAGCGAAAUGCGAUAAGUAGUGUGAAUUGCAGAAUUCAGUGAAUCAUCGAAUCUUUGAACGCACAUUGCGCCCGCCAGUAUUCUGGCGGGCAUGCCUGUUCGAGCGUCAUUUCAACCCUCAGGCCCCGCCUGGCGUUGGGGAUCGGCGCGGCCCUCUCCGGGCUGCCGGCCCCGAAAACUAGUGGCGGUCUCGCUGUAGUCCUCCUCUGCGCAGUAGCAACGCUCGCACUGGAACUCGGCGCGGCCACGCCGUAAAACACCCCACUUCUGAAAGUUGACCUCGGAUCAGGUAGGAAUACCCGCUGAACUUAAGCAUAUCAAUAAGCGGAGGA
rnacentral:misc_RNA from 1 species